rnacentral:rRNA from 1 species
AUUGAACGCUGGCGGCAUGCCUUACACAUGCAAGUCGAACGGUAGCGGGCCUUCGGGUGCCGACGAGUGGCGAACGGGUGAGUAAUGUAUCGGAACGUACCUUUCAGUGGGGGAUAACGUAGCGAAAGUUGCGCUAAUACCGCAUAUUCUGUGAGCAGGAAAGCAGGGGAUCGCAAGACCUUGCGCUGAUUGAGCGGCCGAUAUCAGAUUAGCUAGUUGGUGAGGUAAAGGCUCACCAAGGCGACGAUCUGUAGCGGGUCUGAGAGGAUGAUCCGCCACACUGGAACUGAGAAACGGUCCAGACUCCUACGGGAGGCAGCAGUGGGGAAUUUUGGACAAUGGGGGCAACCCUGAUCCAGCCAUGCCGCGUGAGUGAAGAAGGCCUUCGGGUUGUAAAGCUCUUUCGGCCGGGAAGAAAUCGUAUCAGCUAAUACCUGGUGCGGAUGACGGUACCGGCAUAAGAAGCACCGGCUAACUACGUGCCAGCAGCCGCCGCCGUAA